rnacentral:rRNA from 1 species
UUAGUAACUGCGAGUGAAGAGGGAAAAGCUCAAAUUUAAAAUCUGGCAGCAUUUUGUUGUCCGAGUUGUAACCUAGAGAAGUGUAACCUGUGCUGGACCGUGUAUAAGUUUCCUGGAAUGGAGCAUCACAGAGGGUGAGAAUCCCGUCUUUGACAUGGACUACCAGUGCAUUGUGGUUGUGCUCUCAACGAGUCGAGUUGUUUGGGAAUGCAGCUCUAAAUGGGUGGUAAAUUCCAUCUAAAGCUAAAUAUUGGCGAGAGACCGAUAGCGAACAAGUACCGUGAGGGAAAGAUGAAAAGAACUUUGGAAAGAGAGUUAAACAGUAUGUGAAAUUGUUGAAAGGGAAACGUUUGAAGUCAGUCGCGUUAGCUGGGGAUCAGCCUGACAUUGUUGGGUGCACUUCCUGGUUGACGGGCCAACAUCAGUUUUGACUGCCAGAAAAAGGCCAAGGGAAUGUGGCACCUUUGGGUGUGUUAUAACCUUUGGUCAUAUAUGGUGGUUGGGACUGAGGAAUGCAGUGUGCCGAAAGGCCGGGUUUCGACCACGUUCACACUGAGGAUGUUGGCAUAAUGGCUUUAAGCGACCCGUCUUGAAACACGGACCAAGGAGUCUAACAUGCAUGCGAGUGUUUGGGUGGAAAACCCUUACGCGUAAUGAAAGUGAAAGUUGAGAUCCCUGUCAUGGGGAGCAUCGACGCCCGGACCAGAACUUUUGGGACGGAUCUGCGGUAGAGCACGUAUGUUGGGACCCGAAAGAUGGUGAACUAUGCCUGAAUAGGGUGAAGCCAGAGGAAACUCUGGUGGAGGCUCGUAGCGAUUCUGACGUGCAAAUCGAUCGUCAAAUUUGGGUAUAGGGGCGAAAGACUAAUCG